AACAAGAGGAGCCUGGCCACCCUCGACCACGCGGAGGACAGCGUGACCGGGGAAAUAUCAAGGUCGCUGUCCUCCGCCUUAUCCAUCCUUAUCUCCGACUCGAGGCCCAUAAUCCCGGCCAACGUGCUGCUCGUGGAUUGGAAAUUUUUGAAAGCAUUCGAUGGAUCAAGGAAGCAUCAAAGGAAGCUGAAAGAGUACAAGUCUCUUGGGAGGAAAAAUUUUCGACGAGUAAGAGCGGAUGGAGAAAGAUUUGUGGAGAAGGAGAAGGUGGCAAUCAGUGUCCUUCACUAGCCACCUUGUUUAAUAGCGCAUAUCCAUUUAUAUCGGACGUGGGGAUCGCCAAGGGGAGAGAUGGCUGCAUAGCGAUUCACGAAAGAUGUCAGAUGAGUUAGGUGCGGUGAGACUGACGCGCUCUAACAAGUCUCUCUCGAGUUACGCCUCGUUGUUCCCGCUGCUUCUUUCCUGGUUUAAUUAAAAAUGUCUGCUCACCGCGUUGAUGGAAGUGGAGGAAAAUUCGUUGUUUUUAUCGAGGAAUUUUUCAACCGGUAUGGAAAAACUUGAAGAAAUUACAACGUUAAUAUUUUAAAAAAAAAUAAUUGCUGUGUUGUUAAAUUUCUUUGAUCGAUAAUUGACGAUUUUUUCCUUUCGUCAUGCGACUGGAUGAAUGUUGGAAGAAUGAAGAAUAAUUUAAAGAAAUUUUAAAUUUGAAUCGGAGAAUGGAAGAAAACUGUGUUAUCACCGAGUUUGAAAAACAAGAUGAAAUGGAGAUACCUUUGUCGGGCAUUGAGACUUCAUUGAAUGAAAUCUCUCACGUAUUCAUACGUGGGGGGGGAAGGGUUUGGUAAAGAUUUAUACGGAAUGGUUGGAGGAGGGGAUAUAUCCUCGAAAGAGGAAAUACCAUUCUGCAUUUUCUAGCAGGGCGAAUUCUCUCAAGAGUCAAACAUUUAGUAGACUUUGUCUGGGAAACAUUCCAGGGGAAGAGACACACAUGUCCUCUCCCUUUUCUUCUUAUCUUCCUUUUCUUAUUUCCCUUUUGGAAAUGGGGGAGAAAGGGGAGAAAGAAUCGAUGCAAAUUCUAUUCGAAUCGGGGUAAAUUAACACGUGCGACGUAUGGUAAUAAGGCAGACGAUUGUGUAUUCCCAGCAAACAUUAUUCUCCCCCCAGAUUAUCACGUCGAUGAAACGUAUUAUAAUAAUCGAUGAAUCGGAUUAUCUGUCAAGGGAUUAAUCGAUAUUUCGAAUUAUAUUCGUCCUCCAAGAAGAAAUUUCUCUAAGAACAAUCAUUGCAACUUUGUUAAUUUAAUAGGAAAAUCAGUUUGGAGCAAAGAUGUUCAAAAGAAGAAUUAAUUGAAACAAUAUUUGGACAAAAUGGCGAUGUAAAUUAAUCUGGUUGAGAAGCUCUGUUUCUGAGAGAGGAUAACAAAGAAACGAGAGUCGUUUCAAUAUAUCGAGUAUUAUUACCCUGCAUUGAGAAGAUUUUGAUCGGAAAUAUGAUUUAAUCCAAUUAUUCGUGACUCGAUGAAAAAUAUUUCCUAUUUCCAGGAACUUUUUUAAAAUUGCCGGGGGAGGACGCAUUGCUCGAGUUCCGCGAGCCGAAUAAUUGGGACGAGGAGUUAAUUACACGCACAAAGAAGAUUCUUCAGAUAUCAGAAAACAAUUUUAAUCCUGCUUAACCUUCGGGCAUAUUUGAAAAUGAAAAUUGAAAAAAAUUAAACUCGAUCGAAAAAGAGAGGAAAUCGAGAUGAAAGGGGGAAAAAAUUACCUCUUCGAUAGGAGAAAGGAGAGAGAAAAAAAAAAAGAGAAGAAAAAUCCAUCUCGCGUUAUUCCAUCCACAUAAACGAGUCGCGUGGCAAAUAUUUGUAACCGCUUCUGAAAAUAUCUCUCGUCGGCUAAAUGCAAUCAACUGUUCCUCUCUCUGCGCAGAAAGAAGGCUUGUUUCGCAAUUGAAGCGACACUAGCGCCACGCAGCGGUUAACUAUCUAACUACUUACUAACCUCUAUUGCGUUUCCAAUUGGAGAGGUGGAUGGAAAAUACGUACAAAGAUCUGUGUUAUUAUUUAUUUCAUGAUUAUGCUUGUUUUUAAGUAAAUUAACUAAUAUAUAUAUCUUCUUUCGAUUCGUUAUAAAAAUUGAUACAACAGAAGACUGCAGAGCACGGCUGCUUAAGAACCACUGCUUACCUUGCGCAAAUUGUAAGAGCAUGGUAUUCACAAUAUACCCGUUGAAUUAACGGGAAGAAUUAAAUUCCAAACAUUUUAACAGAAAUAUCUGUUUGGACGAGGCAUUAAUGGGAUCGAAAGGAGAGCAGCGGAGCGAGAUUUCGAAUUGGAAGGCCGAAUUCGUUCGAAAUACGAAGGAAAGGGGGCGCUUCUUUCAACCGAUUACUCCUUUGUGACGAGGGUAGCACGCUGUAGAAUCGAAUAUAACGAUGCACCGAUGUCUUUUCACCUCUGGAAGGUGAACGUUACCGACGAAAAGGAGGAAGAAUCGAAAAUUUCUCCAAGGACGCGUUUCACUUUUCAUCGCCCGUUCGACUUUUAAUGCAGCAAGCCAGAUUGGACGAUUGUAAAAGCGUGGUAGAAGUUUCUUUUGUGCUGAUGUUUCUCAGUGAACCAAACUGAUCCCAAUCUUUCUCUUUUCUUCUUUUUUUUGAAAUUUUUGUUAUUUAUACAUAUACAGAUUUGGCUUUUUGUAAAAAUGUAGGACAUGUAUCCUAUAUUUGAAGGCUUGCUCUAUUUCAAUUAUUUAUUUUACAACUUGAUAAAAUAGCUUCCAAUUGAUAUUUUGUCUCCAUUGUCCCUAGUUCAAUUAAACUGAUAGCAACUUGAUAAAUUAGCUUCAUAUUUUGUCUCUAUUGUCUUGUGCUUUGUUUCAAUCAAGUUUGUAACUUGAUGAAUCAGCUCCCAAUUGAUAUUUUGUCUCUAUUUCAAUCAAGUUUUGCAAUUUAAUGAAUCAGCUUCCAAUUAAUAUUUUGUCUCUAUUUCAAUAAAGUUGAUAGCAACUUGA